UUGUGUUAGAGCUCCUGGGAGUCAAGCAGCCUCUAGGAUCCUGAAAUCCUACUGUGAUCAAGCCCUUGACUUCCUGUGGUCUUAUGAUCCUGGGUUUGUUGGAGCAUCUAUGGUCCUGGGAGUGUUAGAGCGCUUUGGAUUCGAGCUUCUUCUGGGUGUUUUGGGACUGGGUGAGGAGCUAGCACCCAAGCUUAAAGGCUGCCCACUGAAGGGCACUUAAAAUCAGCCUCUGACCUGAACUGUGGCCUUUGAUGAAGCGAAGAGGGAGCUGUGCUAAGAUAUUUUAUAUAGAGAACAUUCAUAAUGAGGACAGCGUUAUGAAUAGAGGCAUCUUCUGGAUCAUCUAGGCAACAAUGAUAGAGGAACAAAGAACUGAUGCACUGAGUCGGGGAUAAAGUACCGUGUGGUUGCACUGUAACCAUCAAUAGGAGCACAAGCCCUGAGAUUUAAUGUUCCACAUUUCAAUUCAACUUGAUUUGCUGAUGACUUCAAAAUGGUAACCUCUUUAAAACUUAAGGAUAGUAAAUUUUGGGAGGGAUGAAAACGUUAAACAAAUAAAAAGAAUGUAAACAUAUUAAAAUAUUUUAAAUUAAA